AUUGAACGCUGGCGGCAGGCCUAACACAUGCAAGUCGAGUGGAUGAGUGGAGCUUGCUCCAUGAUUCAGCGGCGGACGGGUGAGUAAUGCCUAGGAAUCUGCCUGGUAGUGGGGGACAACGUUUCGAAAGGAACGCUAAUACCGCAUACGUCCUACGGGAGAAAGUGGGUGAUCUUCGGACCUCACGCUAUCAGAUGAGCCUAGGUCGGAUUAGAUAGUUGGUGAGGUAAAGGCUCACCAAGGCGACGAUCCGUAACUGGUCUGAGAGGAUGAUCAGUCACACUGGAACUGAGACACGGUCCAGACUCCUACGGGAGGCAGCAGUGGGGAAUAUUGGACAAUGGGCGAAAGCCUGAUCCAGCCAUGCCGCGUGUGUGAAGAAGGUCUUCGGAUUGUAAAGCACUUUAAGUUGGGAGGAAGGGCAGUAAGCGAAUACCUUGCUGUUUUGACGUUACCGACAGAAUAAGCACCGGCUAACUCUGUGCCAGCCGCCGCUGUAACAC
rnacentral:rRNA from 1 species